rnacentral:rRNA from 1 species
UACGAAGGGGGCUAGCGUUGUUCGGAAUUACUGGGCGUAAAGCGCACGUAGGCGGACAUUUAAGUCAGGGGUGAAAUCCCAGAGCUCAACUCUGGAACUGCCUUUGAUACUGGGUGUCUAGAGUAUGGAAGAGGUGAGUGGAAUUCCGAGUGUAGAGGUGAAAUUCGUAGAUAUUCGGAGGAACACCAGUGGCGAAGGCGGCUCACUGGUCCAUUACUGACGCUGAGGUGCGAAAGCGUGGGGAGCAAACAGGAUUAGAUACCCCCGUAGUCC